UAAUCUUAUCUGGUAAAGCGAAUGAUUAGAGGCCUUAGGGUCGAAACGAUCUUAACCUAUUCUCAAACUUUAAAUGGGUAAGAACCUUAACUUUCUUGAUAUGAAGUUUAAGGUUAUGAUAUAAUGUGCCCAGUGGGCCACUUUUGGUAAGCAGAACUGGCGCUGUGGGAUGAACCAAACGUAAUGUUACGGUGCCCAAAUUAACAACUCAUGCAGAUACCAUGAAAGGCGUUGGUUGCUUAAAACAGCAGGACGGUGAUCAUGGAAGUCGAAAUCCGCUAAGGAGUGUGUAACAACUCACCUGCCGAAGCAACUAGCCCUUAAAAUGGAUGGCGCUUAAGUUGUAUACCUAUACAUUACCGCUAAAGUAGAUGAUUUAUAUUACUUGUAAUAUAAAUUUUGAAACUUUAGUGAGUAGGAAGGUACAAUGGUAUGCGUAGAAGUGUUUGGCGUAAGCCUGCAUGGAGCUGCCAUUGGUACAGAUCUUGGUGGUAGUAGCAAAUAAUCGAAUGAGACCUUGGAGGACUGAAGUGGAGAAGGGUUUCGUGUGAACAGUGGUUGAUCACGAGUUAGUCGGUCCUAAGUUCAAGGCGAAAGCCGAAAAUUUUCAAGUAAUAAAAUGACUAUAUAUUACAAAAAUGCCAAUUAAUAUACUUGAAUAAUUUUGAACGAAAGGGAAUACGGUUCCAAUUCCGUAACCUGUUGAGUAUCCGUUUGUUAUUAAAUAUGGGCCUCGUGCUCAUCCUGGCAACAGGAACGACCAUAAAGAAGCCGUCGAGAGAUAUCGGAAGAGUUUUCUUUUCUGUUUUAUAGCCGUACUACCAUGGAAGUCUUUCGCAGAGAGAUAUGGUAGAUGGGCUAGAAGAGCAUGACAUAUACUGUUGUGUCGAUAUUUUCUCCUCGGACCUUGAAAAUUUAUGGUGGGGAUACGCAAACUUCUCAACAGGCCGUACCAAUAUCCGCAGCUGGUCUCCAAGGUGAAGAGUCUCUAGUCGAUAGAAUAAUGUAGGUAAGGGAAGUCGGCAAAUUAGAUCCGUAACUUCGGGAUAAGGAUUGGCUCUGAAGAUUGAGAUAGUCGGGCUUGAUUGGGAAACAAUAACAUGGUUUAUGUGCUCGUUCUGGGUAAAUAGAGUUUCUAUCAUUUAUGUUAGUUGCUUGUUCCCCGGAUAGUUUAGUUACGUAGCCAAUUGUGGAACUUUCUUGCUAAAAUUUUUAAGAAUACUAGUUGGGUCAAACCAAUUAGUUCUUAUUAAUUAUAACGAUUAUCAAUUAACAAUCAAUUCAGAACUGGCACGGACUUGGGGAAUCCGACUGUCUAAUUAAAACAAAGCAUUGUGAUGGCCCUAGCGGGUGUUGACACAAUGUGAUUUCUGCCCAGUGCUCUGAAUGUCAAAGUGAAGAAAUUCAAGUAAGCGCGGGUCAACGGCGGGAGUAACUAUGACUCUCUUAAGGUAGCCAAAUGCCUCGUCAUCUAAUUAGUGACGCGCAUGAAUGGAUUAACGAGAUUCCUACUGUCCCUAUCUACUAUCUAGCGAAACCACAGCCAAGGGAACGGGCUUGGAAUAAUUAGCGGGGAAAGAAGACCCUUUUGAGCUUGACUCUAAUCUGGCAGUGUAAGGAGACAUAAGAGGUGUAGAAUAAGUGGGAGAUAUUAGACUUCGGUUUGGUAUCGACAAUGAAAUACCACUACUCUUAUUGUUUCCUUACUUACUUGAUUAAAUGGAACGUGUAUCAUUUCCUAGCCAUUAUACGGAUAUAUUUAUUAUAUCUUAUGGUAUUGGGUUUUGAUGCAAGCUUCUUGAUCAAAGUAUCACGAGUUUGUUAUAUAAUCGCAAACAAAUUCUUUAAUGAGACGAUGCAUUUAUGUAUUUUUGAUUUGAAAAUUUGGUAUAACUCCAAUUACUCAGGUAUGAUCCAAUUCAAGGACAUUGCCAGGUAGGGAGUUUGACUGGGGCGGUACAUCUCUCAAAUAAUAACGGAGGUGUCCCAAGGCCAGCUCAGUGCGGACAGAAACCACACAUAGAGCAAAAGGGCAAAUGCUGACUUGAUCUCGGUGUUCAGUACACACAGGGACAGCAAAAGCUCGGCCUAUCGAUCCUUUUGGUUUAAAGAGUUUUUAACAAGAGGUGUCAGAAAAGUUACCAUAGGGAUAACUGGCUUGUGGCGGCCAAGCGUUCAUAGCGACGUCGCUUUUUGAUCCUUCGAUGUCGGCUCUUCCUAUCAUUGUGAAGCAAAAUUCACCAAGCGUUGGAUUGUUCACCCAUGCAAGGGAACGUGAGCUGGGUUUAGACCGUCGUGAGACAGGUUAGUUUUACCCUACUAAUGACAAAACGUUGUUGCGACAGCAUUCCUGCGUAGUACGAGAGGAACCGCAGGUACGGACCAAUGGCACAAUACUUGUUCGAGCGAACAGUGGUAUGACGCUACGUCCGUUGGAUUAUGCCUGAACGCCUCUAAGGUCGUAUCCGUGCUGGACUGCAAUGAUAAAUAAGGGGCAAUUUGCAUUGUAUGGCUUCUAAACCAUUUAAAGUUUGU
rnacentral:rRNA from 1 species